CGGGGCGUAGCGCAGUUUGGUAGCGCGCUUGUUUUGGGUACAAGAGGUCGGGGGUUCGAAUCCCUCCGCCCCGACCA
rnacentral:tRNA from 1 species